rnacentral:rRNA from 1 species
UCUUUACCUGAGAUCAAGUAAGAUUACCUGCUGAACUUAAGCAUAUCAGUAAGCAGAGGAAAAGAAACUAACAAGGAUUGCCCCAGUAAUGGCGAAUGAAAAGGCAAAAGCUCAGAUUGAAAAUCUUAAUCCUUUGAUUAAGAGUUGUAGUCUGGAGUUGAGAUCGGAAAUUAAAAUUCUAGCAUAAGUCGGUUGGAAAGCCGCGCUAAAAAGGGUGAUAGCCCCGUAGUCGGUUAGAAUUUGAUGUACGAUCAAAAACAAAGAGUCGGGUAUUUUGGGAUUGAUGCCCUAAUUGGGAGAUAAACUUCUUCUAAAGCUAAAUAUUAAUGGGAGACCGAUAGCGAACAAGUACUGUGAAGGAAAGAUGAAAAGAACUUUGAAAAGAGAGAUAAAAGAUUUGAAACCGUUGAAAAGGAAGCGGUAGAAGAAUAAUUAUUUGCUAUUGGUAUUUAUUGUAUUCAAAGGUUGGUUAUGCCCCAAACACUUAAAAAGGUGCAAGGUAUAAUUAAUUCAGGUGCGGUAAUAGCUAAUAGUAAAAGACAAAAUGGAUUGAGAUUGUUGGAUUAGUUCUGAAAGAGCACUGCUUGCAGACUUUCAGGAUAAACAAUUAUUUUGAUCGAGGGUUACGAAA